rnacentral:rRNA from 1 species
CCGUCAGAUGAACGCUGGCGGCAGGCCUAACACAUGCAAGUCGAGCGGUAGAGAGAAGCUUGCUUCUCUUGAGAGCGGCGGACGGGUGAGUAAUGCCUAGGAAUCUGCCUGGUAGUGGGGGAUAACGUUCGGAAACGGACGCUAAUACCGCAUACGUCCUACGGGAGAAAGCAGGGGACCUUCGGGCCUUGCGCUAUCAGAUGAGCCUAGGUCGGAUUAGCUAGUUGGUGAGGUAAUGGCUCACCAAGGCGACGAUCCGUAACUGGUCUGAGAGGAUGAUCAGUCACACUGGAACUGAGACACGGUCCAGACUCCUACGGGAGGCAGCAGUGGGGAAUAUUGGACAAUGGGCGAAAGCCUGAUCCAGCCAUGCCGCGUGUGUGAAGAAGGUCUUCGGAUUGUAAAGCACUUUAAGUUGGGAGGAAGGGUUGUAGAUUAAUACUCUGCAAUUUUGACGUUACCGACAGAAUAAGCACCGGCUAACUCUGUGCCAGCAGCCGCGGUAAUACAGAGGGUGCAAGCGUUAAUCGGAAUUACUGGGCGUAAAGCGCGCGUAGGUGGUUUGUUAAGUUGGAUGUGAAAUCCCCGGGCUCAACCUGGGAACUGCAUUCAAAACUGACUGACUAGAGUAUGGUAGAGGGUGGUGGAAUUUCCUGUGUAGCGGUGAAAUGCGUAGAUAUAGGAAGGAACACCAGUGGCGAAGGCGACCACCUGGACUAAUACUGACACUGAGGUGCGAAAGCGUGGGGAGCAAACAGGAUUAGAUACCCUGGUACUCCACGCCGUAAACGAUGUCAAACUAGCCGUUGGAAGCCUUGAGCUUUUAGUGGCGCAGCUAACGCAUUAAGUUGACCGCCUGGGGAGUACGGCCGCAAGGUUAAACUCAAG